rnacentral:rRNA from 1 species
UACGAAGGGGGGCUAGCGUUGUUCGGAAUGACUGGGCGUAAAGGGCGCGUAGGCGGCGAUGUAAGUCAGGCGUGAAAGCCCCGGGCUCAACCUGGGAACGGCGCUUGAUACUGCGUUGCUUGAGGACGGGAGAGGAUGGUGGAAUUCCAGGUGUAGCGGUGAAAAUGCGUAGAUAUCAGGAGGAACACCGAUAGCGAAGGCAGCUCGCUGGGACGGUACUGACGCUGAGGCGCGAAAGCGUGGGGAGCGAACAGG